rnacentral:lncRNA from 1 species
UUAAUAGUGGGAAAGCGCCGAAAGACAAAUGGGAAACCAAAAUAGAAGCUGUUGGCCAAGAUUGACCUCUACAGUAUUUCUAAACCGUGCGAGGGCAAUACGGAACCAUCAGAUGUCGCGCUUAUGUGACUCAACUAGCUGGUAAACUUGGAAACUUUUCAGAUUAUCAAUCAUCGUUACCUCCUACGCCGAGUCAGUUAGAGGAUGAAAUGACUCACGAUCCGCUUCUCUGACAUUUAGCAGGUGACGAAUGACGAAGUUAAGGAGAAUUCCUUUCGCCCCUUUUUGCUCAUGUGUUUAUGUACGUCGGUUGUUCGCGUUCACCAAUCAUAGAAGUACCCGCAACGCUAUACAGCAGGGUUGAUCACCAACUGGAUGGUAACGCAGCUGUUGAGCGGCCUCCACGAGUUCUUAAAUUAGUUUGCUUGUUUUUUUCAUCUUCUGCUUCUUCUUCUUCUUCUUCUAACCGUCUGGUUAUUUGGACGACCGUGUCGAAUGAAGAGCUUCACAUAUACAACAGUGGCCCCCUAUACCCUAACGAAGGGAAAAGGAAAAAAAGAAAUGGAGCAUGGAUGUACCUUGAUUUCAUCGAAGGUGACGGGCUGCGUGCGGUAACGGCCAAUAGCUCCAGCCGAUGGCUGCGCCUCCCGAUACAGGAACCUCCGCUGGUUGCGUCGAUUCGGAGUUCCGUCGGCUGCACCGCGAUGUAGUCGAGAUAUGUGCUCGGGAAAAACGGCGUCUACCUCUUUCCUAAACUCUUGGCAAGCCAUUUCAUCUGACCAGGACCGAGUAUGAUGAUGCGUUACCGAUUUUUCCCUCUCGACAGUCUUCUCCGAGUUUCACGCCUCUCGCGUCUUCCCAAAAUAUCACGCGGUAUCACACGAUAACGCCUUUUGAUUUUGCCCCCAACUUGGUUCUAGAUAGUAUUUAAUCAAGAAUGUAAAUGAGCAUGUGUUGUUCAAAAUUACCUAACAAUCUCAAAAGUGACUUCACCAAAGCAAGAUUUCACAAACAUCUGCCCCAUUGCCUCACAACCAUAUUUCAUGGGUUUUAAAAAAUGGUUGUCAAAGAUGAGAGAUGGAAUUAUUUUUGAAAACAAAUCGCGAUUAAUCAUUAGAGUUAUUUCACGGGCCAGUUUGACAUUUUCUAAUUUAACCAGGCUUAAUUAUUCUAGUUUAACAGCAUUUGUUUUUAAUUAACAAUGAAACAAACAAAAAAAAUCAUCAGAACGUGAUUCUGAAAAUCCGUGAAAACUACACGAAAUGUAAUCCUACAAUGAUUCCAGUUGAUAAAAAUAGCCGGUGACGGUUACGCGGGGUAGAAGCCGUUAAAGGUUACUUUUAAUAAGAUCCAACUCAACAACAAUUCCAAAUUUAAUAAUCCUUUUACUCACCUUAAUUUCAGUUGGGAAAUACACUUAUGACAAGUAAGGAACGCUCGUCAGUCGGAUCUAAAAAUACUAGAUAAAGCUUCUCUUUCAGGCGUAUCGACCUUCUUCUCUAGAGUUUAGUCUUUGUUCGGCUUUAAAACGAUGAUUAUAAAUUUAGA